rnacentral:rRNA from 1 species
UACAGAGGGGGCAAGCGUUGUUCGGAAUUACUGGGCGUAAAGGGUUCGUAGGUGGCCAACUAAGUCAUACGUGAAAUCCCUCAGCUUAACUGGGGAACUGCGUCUGAUACUGGUUGGCUUGAGUGCAGGAGAGGAACGCGGAAUUCCAGGUGUAGCGGUGAAAUGCGUAGAUAUCUGGAGGAACACCGGUGGCGAAGGCGGCGUUCUGGACUGCAACUGACACUGAGGAACGAAAGCCAGGGGAGCAAACGGG